UGGGACGAUGUGGACCCAGGAGGACCUAAAAUCAUGGCCAAGAGACCUCUGCACCACAUGCUGACUCUGCAUCCAUUGAGGGUGUUGGACCAUAUCCCCUGAAGAUAAGGCGGGGCGACUGCACGUGGAUUGAGAGGUGCCCUCACUGCUGCAGACCUGUGGUAACAACACUCACCUGUGCUUCCCAGACAAGACUCUAUCGGGUCGUGAGCCCCCAACAGCCAGUGCUACUGCUAUCCAAUCUGACAGAUGGAAACCAGCGCCAAUCAGCCUGCCUGGAGCGGUGCAAAUAAGCCUAAGACUCAAACUUUCAGCCAGUUAACUGAACACACAGCCCAGCACUUCAGCUGCAGCCCUCCACUGCUCCCUCAAGCACAGCUCAAGCCUGAGGGACCACGCCCACCUGUGCAUCAGCAUAGCCACGUCUGCCCAUGGACCACCAUGACACACCCAGGGACUGCUGACCAGGCC